AAUCUGAUCUUCAAUUUAACAAUUUACACUCUCUUAAACCUACGCCAAAAUCCCCAACUUUUUCAAUUCAAAUAUGUGAUUCUAGGCAUUAAAGUCAAUGGGUAAUCAAUAUAAUAACAUUAAUCCAAGUAGAAAACGCUUACCCUUUGUGAUGAACUUCCAUCUUUGAAUCGCCCUAAAAUUGAGUCUUCACACCAAAAAGUUCUGAAAUAGCAUGAAAUCUUGAUCUGCUCAUUCAAAUUGUAUUAUGCAUAUCCUUUCAUGACCACAGUUGGGACUCUCCCAAUUAUUAUGUGCAAUUCGGCGAGAUUUCUACACAAUCACAGAAAAACACCAUAAGACCGCGAUGCAUAGAGGUCCAACUUUGCUUGAUCACAACCUCGCUCAUGCGAUCACUAUGGUCUGCAACUUCACUAGAAAACAAUCAACUGUGGUUUAGUACAAGUGAGGUUUUACCACCAAAUACUCACCUAAAUCUCUCGGGUCCCAACCGAACUCCUCAAACAAGUUCUAAAUGGGUAAUAUGACUUGUUUUAAGUCUCAAAAUUCAAAAUCAUAUGUUAAAUCUAAAAAUGAAGAGUCGGGUUAUUAAAAGAAAUGAGGAUCUUGCUUCAUGGAAAAAAGUGGCAAUUGGUCACUUUGGUCAAGCAAAUAGUUCCUAGAAUUUGUACAGAACGAAGAAUCAUCUCCAAACAAUAAGCAUCAGCUUGAAUAACAUGUUAGCUAAGUGCAAAGAAAGCACGUGAAGUGGUAUUCAACGUUCUAUGGGAUGCGUGCGUCCAUGAUGAUCUUUCAAUUACAGAGGCUCUUGCAAAUAUUAAAGAUAUUUUUGCAGAAAAUGCAAAGCAAUUCUAGAAGCUAGAUGCGCCAUCAAGAUAUUCUGAUGUUGAACCUCAGUCUAUAUCUUAUUCUUUAAGAAAGAAAGAGUUAAAUGGUCCACUAACAGAUGUUACUCUUGUUCGCAUUAUUUGGUUAGAUUUCUCCGCGCAGCAUAGAUGUCGUGUUGUUCCCCAACAUCGCUACUACAGUUCUGUGAAGAAAUAUGGUCUUGGCUUAACUAUUGAAUGUAUGUGAUUGAGUUCAAUAUCUGACAAUCUAUGCGAAGAACAUUCGCUCUCUUCCUCGGGUGAGGUCAGAAUUGUUCCCGACUUAUCAACCAAAUGCAGAAUCCCCUGGUACUCUUUGCAAACCAAUGUAUUAUUGCAUAAUAUAUUCAAUUUUCCAUUUUGUCUAUCCAAUUGAA